AAGCCUCGCUUUUUUGCUGGUAGACGCACACCAUCACAUCCUACAUAAUAUUUAGCUCUGAGGCGUUUCCAGAUGGGAAGUGCGUUUCUGUAUUUUCAUAGCCGUGUUCUCUACGUGAAUGGACUGGCGUGAAGCUGGGGGCUGACGGCUGGCAGGGCAGAACAACUUCCAGUAAAAGAAGGCACUGAGGUUUAAGUGCUACGUGGGAGCAGUUGCCGAUUUUUGCAAUGGGAGGCUGCAUAGAUUCAAGGACUUCCUUGAGUGCUCCAGGAGCUUGUCAUUCCAGAGACAGAGCAGCCCAGAAGUCCUGGGAUUUACACCUCUAGUAGAAACCCUCAACCAGAGAAGGAUGGAAGUCAAUGGGUGGGUUGGGAAGCUCCAUUCUGUAUCACCCUCGCUCAAGGACCUGGACUGAAGGAUUUCUGCUUUCAAGAAGAAAAAAAAAAAUAGAAGACAUGUUUACUAAUACACUGGUAAUUAUUUCUAUUCAUAUUUUAUUGGCCAAAGCGAGUCAUAUGGGUAUACAACAUAAAAUGAGGUGCAGAAUUUCAAUCCUAUCAUUUGCUUGGAAGGUGGAGAGUCAUAUUUGGAGAACAUGAGUUCUAUAAUUGUUGGAUGUAACAGUCUAUACAUGUCCACUAAGUCAAGUUUGCUAAUCGUGUUUAAAUAAUCUAUAUCCUUACUCAUGUAUCUGUUCACUUCUUGCAGUUUUGUCAAUCUUAGUUUUAU
rnacentral:lncRNA from 1 species